GAAAUGCGAUACGUAAUGUGAAUUGCAGAAUUCAGUGAAUCAUCGAAUCUUUGAACGCAUAUUGCGCUCUUUGGUAUUCCGAAGAGCAUGCUUGUUUGAGUAUCAGUAAACACCUCAACACUCUCGAUUUGUUUCGAAUGAGUAUUGGAUUUGAGCAAACCCAACGCCUUUCUGCUAGCCAGACUUGCGGCGGGUUGCUUGAAAUGCAGGUGCAGCUGAGUUUUCUUCUGAGCUAAUAGCAUACUUAAUUAGUCCCGUAAAAAGGAUUAUUAAUCUGCUGAAGCUUACACCAAAGGAAGAGCUCUCUGGCUGACUGAUGCAGAAUUACGCAUAGCCGGUAAAACGGCUUUGUAAAACUCGAUCUCAAAUCAAGUAAGACUACCCGCUGAACUUAA
rnacentral:misc_RNA from 1 species